GACGAACGCUGGCGGCGUGCUUAACACAUGCAAGUCGAACGAAGAGCGAUGGAAGCUUGCUUCUAUCAAUCUUAGUGGCGAACGGGUGAGUAACGCGUAAUCAACCUGCCCUUCAGAGGGGGACAACAGUUGGAAACGACUGCUAAUACCGCAUACGAUCUAAUCUCGGCAUCGAGGAUGGAUGAAAGGUGGCCUCUACAUGUAAGCUAUCACUGAAGGAGGGGAUUGCGUCUGAUUAGCUAGUUGGAGGGGUAACGGCCCACCAAGGCGAUGAUCAGUAGCCGGUCUGAGAGGAUGAACGGCCACAUUGGGACUGAGACACGGCCCAGACUCCUACGGGAGGCAGCAGUGGGGAAUCUUCCGCAAUGGACGAAAGUCUGACGGAGCAACGCCGCGUGAGUGAUGACGGCCGUCGGGUUGUAAAGCUCUGUUAAUCGGGACGAAAGGCCUUCUUGCGAAUAGUGAGAAGGAUUGACGGUACCGGAAUAGAAAGCCACGGCUAACUACGUG
rnacentral:rRNA from 1 species